CCUGCCCCGGUCCCGCCCUUGGAAAGCCGAGGCUCUCUGCAGCCCCGCCUGGUGCCUCCCAGGCCCAGGGUCACCCAGGCUUGAAGCGGGCCUCCUGGGCCCUGUGCCGGGCCAGCACCGGAGUGGCGGGAGGAGUGGAAGGAGGAGUGGACACCCAAGCACAGCCUGAGUCUGGGCCAGAGCCUGGAGUCCUGAGCCAGAAAUCCUGCAAAAUGCUACAGCGUCCAUGUCACUCAGAGGCGACAACCGGCUUCUAAUGCCAAGGGCACUGAGCAGGCACCAGAGACACUACCCCUCCAUUUGCUCCGAUGGCUGGCCCUGGGUUGGGAUGGCAGGGGGCCAGGCUGGCUUUGUGCCCAGCAAGUCACUCUCUUGAGGAAAAGAGCUAGCAGGGGUUCCGGAAUCGAGCUCAAAAGGACCCAGUGUUCAGUACAAAGCAGGAGAGUGGUGGCAGAGCGCUCCAAGCAGAGGCCCCGAGGCAGAGGGCGCAGGAAGGGACCACCUCAGCUUUUGCAGAAGCCAGGGCCCCACGUCCCCUACUCAAGAGGGCAGCAGCAGAGAGACAGCUGCUGGGGACAGCCUGUGCCUCCACUGGCUCCCCAACCAGCUGGGACUUCUAAAAGCAGGGCUGACCCCUGGCAGGACUGUUCACCUUGAAACUCGAGGAGAUGGACUCUCUGGCAAGCACAUAGCCCAUGCUGAGCACAUGGCCUUCAAUGGAGCAUGAGACCAUGGACGCCACGCCCAGGCCCGUGAGGGUGAGCGUGAGGGUGCCUUUCUUGCUGAUGAUGUCCAGUGUCUCUUGAGCCUGAGGAGACCACGUCCUUUAGCAAGGAGCAGCCACCUGUCUGCCAGGCACGUGGUGAGCCCUAGUUCUGUCUGUGAGCAGCUGCCUGGUGGCCUGCCCCUGCAAAACAGCCCUGAGACCCUCGCUGCCCCUGACGUGCCAGCAAGGGCAUUAGGAGGGUAUGCUGCUCAGACUGCUCCAUCAGUCCGGGCCUGAGGGCGCAGUGGUGUCCGCAGUGCCCAGAGCCCAGGGCUGCAGCGGGGGACUCCCAAGGCCACACCUGCUUCCCAGGACCCUGGCUCUGAGGGUCUGGGGGCUGGCGCUCACCAGGAUGCUUUCGCGGGGUGAGAAGGACAGCAUCAGCACCUGGGUCUCGCCUGAGCACAGCUUGCUGAAGGGGUUCAGCAGAGCAAAAGGGCCACAGGGGUUCAGCACCGAGAACUCCACCUGAGGCCCACGUCAAGGAGGGAGACCUGGUGGCUCCGGGCCCUGCCCAGCCCCACCCAGACCUGCUCCCGCCCCAGCGCUGCCUGCGCCAGGUGUGGACCAGGAUACGGCAAGGUCCUCGGGGCAGAUGUUCUGGAGGGAGAUCUUCUUUAUACCACGGUGUCCUGAAACGGCAGGGAGAGUCCUGUCAGUCCUGGCCCAAGGAGCGUCUGUCCCUCAGAUGUCACCACGAUAGACGGAGCCACGGCUGGACACCACAGCUCCAGGGGUUCGGAUCCCUUCCUGUCCUUGACGUCACCACUGGCCAUGACACAUGGGACCACAAACUUGUCAAACUUCGCCUGGAAAGUUCGGACCAGGGCAGACUGAGCAAUCUGGUACUCAUGGGAACUGGAACGAGAGGGACAAAGUGUGCUGUGGCCCCUGCUCACUGCCCACCUGGGCCACAGGUCCCUGCUGGGCUCCACAAACGGGAUCCCCAAGGACCUGCUUCCUAGGACCCUGGGCUCAAGUGGCCUCUCCAGGGGGGACCACAGGGGUAAGGGUCCUGGGUGGUGGCUGCCCUGUGUGCUCCGAUGAGCGGGUCUUCCCCCCUCCUCCGGCCGGCGAGCUCCUCCCUGCUCCAGCCCCUGGAGUCAGCCUAGGAAGGGGAUCUGUUCAGAGGGUGACCAGGCCCAAGAACGGCAGCCGGUGCCCAGGAGCGAGCACCUGGAUGGGUGCUGGGAGCCUGCAGGCCUAGACCUCCAGCACGAGUCUCAGGCAGCUGUGCGGCGGGGGCCUGUGGGGAAGCCCACUGGGGCCGGGGGCGACCUCUCCCAGCCCACCUGACCCUGAGCUCCUGCUUCUCCUGCUGGGGGGCUUGGGAGGCGACAGCCUGCAGCAUCCGUUCCCGGGUCCGCAGUCGGAGCACAGAGAGGGACUGUCUCCACAGCUCCUUCUUUUGGCUGAAUGUAUCCUUUCGGAACUGUGAGGGGGGCGGCUGGCUGUGGGGCUGUUCAGGUGCUCUGCCCUGUGUCUGCAGACCCCACACUGCCCCUGAGGCUGCUCCGGGGCCCAGUCUCGCAGGCCCAGCUGACUGCUGAGGGGCAGGCCCCACCAGUUCAGCUUUGGAGCAAACAGGACCCAAGAACUGCCUCCAGGAGAGGCCAAGGGCAGGGUUUGGGGGUCAAGCAAUGAAGACAGGUGAGAGUGCGGGGCCAUGAGCCCCAGUGCAGAGACCCCAGACUGCCCACUGACUCAUGUCUGCAAUGGGGAAAUUGAGGCAAAGAGGGACAGGGAGUCUGUGGACCGGGGUUCCAGGUCCCUGGAGCCUCUCUGAGCCUCUCUGAGCCUCUCUACCUGCAGAAAGCCUAUGCUCCCGGCACUGAUGUGUGCACCACAGAAAACACAUGGCCAGUCAAGGAGCGACCACACAGCUCUCCAGGGUCAGAGCCGUGUGCACGAGCCGUCUGUGGGGCGCGUCUCCCUGAGGCAGCUUCUGUGCCUUCCCCUGGUGGUGAAGGGAGGCUGGCCUUGCAUUUAUCCCAGUCCUGCCCACGUCAGAGUCCUGGCCACCCUCUGGGGUGGCCCAACUCCCGCUGCCCAGUGCUGCUUUCAGGAGGAGGGAGGGGUCUUGCAAGAAGACCUUCUACCCUCUUGAGACAGUGCCGGAGUCUGCCUGCACUCCUGCACCUGCCCCCUUCCCCCGAUGCCCACCUUGCCCCUCCCCUGAGGCUCCACGCACCAGUUUGUUCUGGAUUUCUUUGUUCAGGAUCUGGAGGGCUUCCUCGUGGAUCACCUCAUGGGACAGCACAGGCCGGAAGGCCACCUGGACCAGGCAUCUCUGCAGGGAGACACUGGGACUGCCACCCUGCUCAAGGAGCCCAGAGGGCACCGGUGGCCCUUGCUGGCGCACUGCCCCCCUCAGCUCCCUGCUCCCUCCCUUGGCCCUGGGUACUCCUAACAGCUCCCCACUUUGAGAUUUCAGCCUAGAUGUGCCCCUUCCAGGAAGGCCCCCCUGACCACUGCCCCAAAGAAAGGGGGGUGGGCUGCAGCACAGGAUAUCCAGCCUUCCACCGUGUGGGUGGGCACUGAGAGCAGGGUCCUGAGUGGGCCAGGACCUCACCCCUGUCCUUGAGGCUCAAGUGAGAAUGAAACUUCCUUUCCAGCCCCUGAGUGUCAGGGUGAGUUCUUGUCCCCAACUCGAGUCCUGUGUGCACCAGCCUUUCCACUCUGGGGCUCUGUUAGCCCGUCUGCAGCGAGUCCCAGAAGAAGUCUUCUCCAGGACAGAGUCCAGGAGGGCUCACUCACCACCCCACCCCACCUGCUCAGCACAGCCAAGGCGUGGGGGCACAGGAUGGGACAGAGGGAGAGAGGAGGAGGGAGGGAGAGGGGGAGGGAGAGACAGCCACCACCUGCAGCACCCACUCGGACACGGGAACCCUUAUCUAAGUAGCAUUUUCUGUUUAGUGAGCAGCAUGUUACAGGCCUGUGUCCACUGAGAGAAGCCCUGCUGGGUCCAGGCAGAGCACCCUGGGCUCCUAGGACAGGCCCUACUGAGCCUCCCCAUGCCCAUCCACUGUGAGGUCUCGUUCAGCUGGUUUGAGGCCUGCCCACCCUUCUUCAGCCCCCAGACAUGUGCCUGCUGGGGCAGCUGCCGGCGAUGCUCCCUGCCUGCCGUUCAGGUGGGCCGAGGGCAGGUGGCGGAGGGCACAUGGCCAACCCCCACUCGGUGGCUGUGGAGGCUUCCCAGCCCUGCCGGGGCUAAGUCCCUGUGUGCCAGGGUGGGUCUGACCAGGCACCCCACCCCUCAGGGCAAUGGCAGGUGGCCCGAGCCUUCACCUCCAGCCCACUGGACUAGCCCCUGCUCACCUUUCCUGGCAACACGGUCCCCACCAAGGGUGAGAUGGUGAUGGGCAAGUCCGAGGGCAACAGAAACUCAAAAGACGUGGCUCCCACGGGGGAAGCCUCCUCUGAGCUGACCCGGGGCCCCGAGCGGGGCAGGGAGCUCGCACCCGUGUGGGAGUUGAUGACAUACAGCCUGGCCACGGAGGUGUCGUACAAGGAGGUGGCUGCGAACUUGAUCUGGUAGUGGGACAGCUCCAGAGGCGGGUGGACACCCACAGCUCGGCAGGACAGCUUGAAGCACCUGCAAGUCAUCGGUGUGAGCAGGGCCUAGCCACACAAGGGCGUCCACGUGCCAGGAGGGUGGCCAGGAUGGGCACUGUGCAGUGCCCCACGGGCCCGGACCUGCUCCUGAGUUGUCACAGUGGCUUGCUACCCUGUGGAUAUGUGGGAAAUACCCUGCCUCCCUGUGCCCGAUUUUGGUAGAUGGCUAAAACAAGCUUAGGUGAUUGUAAAGGAGGCGAUGGAUUUGUGGUUUAUUGUUUUAAAUAUUUAUUGACAUUUAAAAUUAAAACUUAUCUCUAAAUCGACGCAGGGAGUCCUGCAUACCAUAGUGAGAUGAUUCCUGCCACCUUCCGUUAAAGAACAAGAACAGAAAUUCACAUUUUUGGGGAGUGCACUAGAGAUUGAACCCAGGGGUGCUCUGUCACAGAGCCACACCUCCUAGCCCUUUUAAUUUUAUUUUUUAUUCUGAUACAAUGAUAUUGCUAAGUUUCUGAGGCUCUCCCGAAGUUUCUGAGGCUGGCCUCAAACUUGGAAUCUUCCUGCCUCAGCCUCCCGAGUCUCUGGGGUUACAGAGGUAGACCACCAUGCCCCGUGAGAUGCCCCUAUUUUGACCACUGGGAAAGUUCACAUCCGUGUUUUCUUUGCACUUCUGUGGCCACAGCACUUUCCCCAUCAGCAUUUAUCUACUUAUUUAUUGUGAACCUGGGGGUGCCUUACCGCUGAGCUCCAUCCCCAGCCUGUUUACUUUUGAGAUGCGGACCUGCUAAGUUGUGAGAAUGGCCUUGAACUUGCAAUCCUCUUGCCUCAGUCUUCUGAGGCCCUGGGAUUACAGGUGCCGCGUCCACGCCUGGCUUCCCCCGUAGCUUUUAUCCCGUGGUGUGUGUGGGGGGUGCUGGGCUUUGAACCUGGGGCCCAGUGCAUGCCAGGCAAGUGUUCGGAAGGGAACGGCAUCCCAGCCCCGAAUGCGUUAUUUUUUAUGCUUUAAAGGGUGGUACUGAUUAUCUUGUCAUCUUGUUCUAUAAUGAAAAUGUGUUGCUGAAAAUAUUUCAAUACAUAUUUUUAUAAUCUGUGACACAGGCUCUAAAUAUUAAAAAAAUAUCUCUCUGGGUGGAGAUAGUCACAUUAUUAUUAGUAUUCAACUAAUUGAAAAAUAUGAGUGUGUCAAGCGUGUGAAAAUCGCACAUGGGCUGCCAGCUCUCGGCUGCCCCCCUGUGGGGGCCGGGCGGCAGGCUCACCUGUUCACCUCCGACUUGCAGACCAGCUCGAAGCUGUACUCCCUGGCCUUGGUGGGCUGGAAGACCACAUCCAGCUGCAGAGCCUCCAGGGGCAGGACUGUCCCAAAGCCGUCAUUGGGCUGGAUGUCCACAAACUGGGAAAUGGAAGACACCAACUCCACAGUGAAGACGGUGCAGGUGCCCGGUGGCAGGAGGCAGAGCUGCCCGGCAGGCCACAGAAGGCGAGGAUGGGCGCUGCAGCCAGGCGCUGCCUCGGAGGCCUCACUGGGCACAGGGCCUGGCCCCCUGAGCACUGCUCCAUUCCCCGGGGGCAAGCGUCCCUCCCAGGAAGAGCCCUGUGCAGACCUGGUCGGCCACCCAGAUGGUCAUCGGAGCCUCCAGGACUCUGCUCUCCUUGUCAAAGUACUUGCCAGCAUCUUCGGGGAGGGAGUGCCUGCAGGAGAGGGCACACCGACUCACCUCUCUUCCUUGUCAGGAGACAGUGGGGAGGCUGGCCCAACGUGGCGCUGUGACACCCUCCAAAGCCACACAACAGGGGACCCAGGUGCGCAAGCUUCUCCAGGAGGCUGCGCACACACACAGCUGUACUUAAAUAAACAAGCAGGUUCAGCAGCUGUGUUCAAGGUGGACGGGGAGUGCCACUAGACAAGUCCCACACAGCGCCUUGCAAAGUCAGUGUAGAACAGGGUCUGCUCUUGCCAGGCGUGUGGCACACCCCUGCCCUCCCGAGCCUCGGUCGGAGGCCAGCCUUGGCAGCUUAGCAAGACCCAGCCCCAGCCUCCAAACAGGACUUGAGCUGUAGCUCAGUGGUAAAGUCUCCCUGGGUUCCAUAAAUGAAACAAUAAAAUGGUUUGCUCUCUGAUUACAAAAGGAAAUUCCUAUCAUUAUAGAAAUAUUGGGGAAAAAUACAAGAAAGAAAGAAAAAAACGCCCUUUGCCAUGAUGCCUUGCCCCCAGGCAAGUCCCACAGCUCUGGCUUCCACAGACGGCCCAGCACCCUGCUCCCGCCCAGCCGCUGGCCCACGUGUCCUGCCGACAGCCUGAGCCCAGACCCUGACCCCGGGCACUGGGCUGAGGCGACCCACCGGGGCAGGAACUUGAGCUGCACU